AGUGAACGCUGGCGGUAGGCCUAACACAUGCAAGUCGAACGGCAGCACAGUAAGAGCUUGCUCUUACGGGUGGCGAGUGGCGGACGGGUGAGGAAUACAUCGGAAUCUACUUUUUCGUGGGGGAUAACGUAGGGAAACUUACGCUAAUACCGCAUACGACCUACGGGUGAAAGCAGGGGAUCUUCGGACCUUGCGCGAUUGAAUGAGCCGAUGUCGGAUUAGCUAGUUGGCGGGGUAAAGGCCCACCAAGGCGACGAUCCGUAGCUGGUCUGAGAGGAUGAUCAGCCACACUGGAACUGGAACACGGUCAAGACUCCUACGGGAGGCAGCAGUGGGGAAUAUUGGACACUGGGCGCAAGCCUGAUCCAGCCAUACCGCGUGGGUGAAGAAGGCCUUCGGGUUGUGAAGCCCUUUUGUUGGGAAAGAAAAGCAGCAGGUUAAUACCCCGCUGUUCCGACGGUACCCAAAAAAUAAGCACCGGCUAACUUCGUG
rnacentral:rRNA from 1 species